rnacentral:rRNA from 1 species
UAGCGUAUAUUUUAGUUGUUGCGGUUAAAAAGCUCGUAGUUGGAUUUCUGUUGUGGGCACCCGGUCCACACUAUGUGUGAGUAUCUGGGCUGACCACGGCAUCCUCCUGAGGAACGUGGUGCGCUUCACUGCGUGGCACGGUAUUCAGGACUUUUACUUUGAGGAAAUUAGAGUGUUCACGGCAGGCGUUUGCCUUGAAUAUAUUAGCAUGGAAUAAUGAUAUAGGCGAAUGCGUCUAUUUUGUUGGUUUCUAGGCGCAAUCGAAUGAUUAAUAGGGACAGUUGGGGGCAUUCGUAUUAUGACGUC